rnacentral:rRNA from 1 species
AUACGUAGGGAGCGAGUGUUGUCCGGAAUUACUGGGCGUAAAGGGCGCGUAGGCGGCGCUUCAAGUCGUCUGUCAAAUGGGAGGGCUUAACCCUUUUUCGCAGACGAAACUGGAGAGCUUGAGAAGCAGAGAGGCAAACAGAAUUCCUGGUGUAGCGGUGAAAUGCGUAGAUAUCAGGAAGAAUACCAGUGGCGAAGGCGGUUUGCUGGCUGCAUACUGACGCUGAAGCGCGAAAGCCAGGGGAGCAAACGGGAUUAGAUACCCCGGUAGUCCUGGCAGUAAACGAUGUAUGCUGGGUGUGGGAGUAGCGAUACCUCCGUGCCGAAGUUAACGCGAUAAGCAUACCGCCUGGGGAGUACGGUCGCAAGAUUGAAACUCAAAGGAAUUGACGGGG